CUCGCUGCGUGGGCGUUCUGAGAAGAUGAAGAGUCAUCACCACUCCCUUGGAUGUUGUGGAGAUGACUGCAAUUUGGUUGCAUGCCUGCAGUGAACCUGGCCACCUCAGUAAAAUCUAAAGUUACUUCAGUGCAAAUCAGAACAGCAAAAGCUGCUGAAUAGGAGACCAGCACUGGCUUGUACAGAAGCACUUCUAAGAUCACAAAAAUAGUAGCAGUAGUAGGCCAAAGAAGGAGCAAACAAUGAUGGGAAGGAAGCAAAGAGUACGGCUACGUGCAUCCAUAAAAUGAAGCUGAAAACAGUGGAUACCUCUCUUUCUGUUGGAGGUCACUUGCUGA